AGGGGGCUAUUGCCUUCACACGGCAGGGGUCGGAGGUUCAAAUCCUCUCCCGCCUACCA
rnacentral:tRNA from 1 species